rnacentral:rRNA from 1 species
GCAUAUCAAUAAGCGGAGGAAAAGAAACCAACAGGGAUUGCCUCAGUAACGGCGAGUGAAGCGGCAACAGCUCAAAUUUGAAAUCUGGCCUCACGGUCCGAGUUGUAAUUUGUAGAGGAUGCUUUUGGCGAGGUGCUUUCCGAGUUCCCUGGAACGGGACGCCAUAGAGGGUGAGAGCCCCGUACGGUAAGACCACCGAGCCUCUGUAAAGCUCCUUCGACGAGUCGAGUAGUUUGGGAAUGCUGCUCUAAAUGGGAGGUGUACGUCUUCUAAAGCUAAAUACCGGCCAGAGACCGAUAGCGCACAAGUAGAGUGAUCGAAAGAUGAAAAGCACUUUGAAAAGAGGGUUAAAAAGUACGUGAAAUUGUUGAAAGGGAAGCAUUCAUGACCAGACUUGGGCUUGGUUGAACAUCCGGCGUUCUCGCCGGUGCACUCUGCCAGUCCAGGCCAGCAUCAGUUUGCCCCGGGGGACAAAGGCGGUGGGAAUGUGGCUCUCUUCGGGGAGUGUUAUAGCCCGCCGUGUAAUGCCCUGGGGCGGACUGAGGAACGCGCUUCGGCACGGAUGCUGGCGUAAUGGUCAUCAAUGACCCGUCUUGAAACACGGACCAAGGAGUCGUCUUCGUAUGCGAGUGUUCGGGUGUCAAACCCCUACGCGUAAUGAAAGUGAACGUAGGUGAGAGCUUCGGCGCAUCACCGACCGAUCCUGAUGUUCUCGGAUGGAUUUGAGUAAGAGCAUACGGGGCCGGACCCGAAAGAAGGUGAACUAUGCCUGUAUAGGGUGAAGCCAGAGGAAACUCUGGUGGAGGCUCGCAGCGGUUCUGACGUGCAAAUCGAUCGUCAAAUAUGGGCAUGGGGGGCGAAAGACUAAUCGAACCUUCUAGUAGCUGGGUUUCCGCCGA